rnacentral:rRNA from 1 species
UACGGAGGGUGCAAGCGUUAAUCGGAAUUACUGGGCGUAAAGAGUGCGUAGGUGGUUGAAUAAGUUGUCUGUGAAAUCCCUGGGCUUAACCUGGGCAGGUCAGAUGAUACUGUUUAACUCGAGUAUGGGAGAGGGUAGUGGAAUUUCCGGUGUAGCGGUGAAAUGCGUAGAGAUCGGAAGGAACACCAGUGGCGAAGGCGGCUACCUGGCCUAAUACUGACACUGAGGCACGAAAGCGUGGGGAGCAAACAGG